AUAGCUUUGCAGCAUUUGGCCAAGAUCAAGUGUAUUAGGUGUUCUUAUCAGUUUAAUAUCGGAUUCGUCCACUAUCUGGACACCAUAUAUUAAAUGGACGAUUUUGAAGCUGGCUUCAUCACCUUGUGCAUUAAAGGGGUACUCCGGUGGUCAACGUGUUUUUCCGUUACCCUAUUUGUUUUGUUUAAUUUCU